ACGAAGGGUGCAAGCGUUAAUCGGAAUUACUGGGCGUAAAGCGUGCGUAGAUGGUUCGCUAAGUCGGAUGUGAAAGCCCCGGGCUCAACCUGGGAACUGCAUCCGAUACUGGCGGACUAGAGUGUGAUAGAGGAUGGCGGAAUUCCCGGUGUAGCGGUGAAAUGCGUAGAGAUCGGGAGGAACAUCCGUGGCGAAGGCGGCCAUCUGGAUCAACACUGACGUUGAGGCACGAAAGCGUGGGGAGCAAACAGGA
rnacentral:rRNA from 1 species